GUAGUUUGAUCCUGGCUCAGGAUGAACGCUGGCGGCGUGCCUAACACAUGCAAGUCGAGCGAAGCACUUCAUUAGAACUCUUCGGAGGGACGAGGAAGUGACUGAGCGGCGGACGGGUGAGUAACGCGUGGGCAACCUGCCUUACACAGGGGGAUAACAGUUAGAAAUGACUGCUAAUACCGCAUAAGACCACAUUGCCGCAUGGCAGGGUGGUAAAAACUCCGGUGGUGUAAGAUGGGCCCGCGUCUGAUUAGGUAGUUGGCAGGGUAGAGGCCUACCAAGCCUACGAUCAGUAGCCGGCCUGAGAGGGUGGACGGCCACAUUGGGACUGAGACACGGCCCAAACUCCUACGGGAGGCAGCAGUGGGGAAUAUUGCACAAUGGGGGAAACCCUGAUGCAGCGACGCCGCGUGAGUGAGGAAGUAUUUCGGUAUGUAAAGCUCUAUCAGCAGGGAAGAAAAUGACGGUACCUGACUAAGAAGCCCCGGCUAACUACGUA
rnacentral:rRNA from 1 species